rnacentral:rRNA from 1 species
CCUACGGGAGGCUGCAGUGAGGAAUAUUGGUCAAUGGUCGGGAGACUGAACCAGCCAAGCCGCGUGAGGGAUGAAGGUACAGAGUAUCGUAAACCUCUUUUGUCAGGGAACAAAGGCGGGGACGUGUCCCCGGAUGAGUGUACCUGAAGAAAAAGCAUCGGCUAACUCCGUGCCAGCAGCCGCGGUUAUACGGAGGAUGCGAGCGUUAUCCGGAUUUAGUGGGUUUAAAGGGUGCGCAGGCGGUCUGUUAAGUCAGCGGUCAAAGCCCGGGGUUAAACCCCGGCCCGCCGUUGAAACUGGCAGUCUCGAGUUGGAGAGAAGUAUGCGGAAUGCGCGGUGUAGCGGUGAAAUGCAUAGAUAUCGCGCAGAACUCCGAUUGCGAAGGCAGCAUGCCGGCUCCACACUGACGCGGAGGCACGAAAGCGUGGGUAUCGAACAGGAUUAGAUACCCGAGUAGUC